UAGAUUCAUAUAUAUAUAUAGCCAAUGAGUUUUGCUACACAUAAGCCAGCGUGUUAGCACACCACUUAUAGUGGGACCUAUUAUAACUUUCAAAAAACCAAAACACCAAUAAUUUUUUAGCAUAGUUGAUGUGGAAAGCUUCCAUAUCAGCAGUGUGCUAGGUGUGU